rnacentral:rRNA from 1 species
UAUUGAAAGUUACGGCGGCACGGAUUGGCUCGCGUCCGAUUAGCUUGUUGGCGGGGUAACGGCCCACCAAGGCUACGAUCGGUAGGGGUUCUGAGAGGAAGGCCCCCCACAAUGGGACUGAGACACGGCCCAUACUCCUACGGGAGGCAGCAGUGAGGAAUAUUGGUCAAUGGGCGGAAGCCUGAACCAGCCAUGCCGCGUGCGGGAAGGAGGCCCUAUGGGCUGUGAACCGCUUUUGCCUGGGGGCAAUAAGGGCGUCGCGCACGUCCGAUGAGAGUACCAGGCGAAUAAGCAUCGGCUAACUCCGUGCCAGCAGCCGCGGUAAUACGGGGGAUGCGAGCGUUAUCCGGAUUCAUUGGGUUUAAAGGGUGCGUAGGCUGUGCGUCAAGUCGGGGGUGAAAUUCCGGUGCUCAACACCGGGGCUGCCCUUGAUACUGUCGCGCUGGAGUGCGGAUGCCGCCGGAGGAAUGAGUGGUGUAGCGGUGAAAUGCUUAGAUAUCACUCAGAACACCGAUUGCGAAGGCAUCUGGCGAAUCCGUAACUGACGCUGAGGCACGAAAGCGUGGGGAUAGAACAGGAUUAGAUACCCUGGUAUUCCACGCCGUAAACGAUGAUGGCUAACCGCCGGCGACACACUGUCGGUGGCCAAGCGAAAGCGAUAAGCCAUCCACCUGGGGAGUA